CAGCAGCCGCGGUAAUACGGAGGGAGCUAGCGUUGUUCGGAAUCACUGGGCGUAAAGCGCACGUAGGCGGUUAUUCAAGUCAGAGGUGAAAGCCCGGGGCUCAACCCCGGAACUGCCUUUGAAACUAGAUGACUAGAAUCUUGGAGAGGUCAGUGGAAUUCCGAGUGUAGAGGUGAAAUUCGUAGAUAUUCGGAAGAACACCAGUGGCGAAGGCGACUGACUGGACAAGUAUUGACGCUGAGGUGCGAAAGCGUGGGGAGCAAACAGGAUUAGAUACCCGUGUAGUCCCUGUCUCUUAUAC
rnacentral:rRNA from 1 species